rnacentral:sRNA from 1 species
CUUCUAAAGGGUGCUGAUGGAAGAAGGGCAAGGCAGGUGUACACCAGUACCCCCUAAACCAGUAAUAUUUUUGAAGAUUUUCUUUGUAUGUAUAUGCCCAGUGUUUGUGUUUGGUCCUGUAUGUUAGAUAAGUGUAUGUUCAUUUUAUCUGUGGAUGAAUUUGAGUUCUCAGGGCUGAUGUAGGGUCUUUUAUGGUACAUGUGGGACCUUCUUGUCUGUGACUGGAAGCAGAGAGGCUAUGGAACUUGUGUGUACAUUCAGGAACUGUGGGUGUGUUUAAUGGGUACUAUUACGCAUACUAUGGAUGCUUUUCAGGGUGAUACAUGAGAGAGUGUGUGCCCAGUGGUUUGUACAGUCUGUGCCUAUUGUAUCCUUAUUGUGUUCACAUGAGCCACUGGGAAGCAUAUGUGGCUUAUUUUCAGUAACACAUGGUGUGUUGGGGUAUUUAGGAUGUAAAUGGCAGAUCUAUGCGUGUGUUCACAAACUAUGAAGUGUGUUAUGUUAUGAAAUAUGUAUGGUGGCUUGGGGGUUGGAGAGGAGGCUCUUAAUGGAAAGCAGGUGGCCUGUGGGCCAUAUUUACACAGCAGGAUGUGAUGUGCAGGAGCUGACUUCGGGAUCAUAUGAGGUUCACCUCUUCUCAGCUCGGUGUUCAGUGGCAUCAAGUUGGUAUGGAAUAUGUCCCGCUGGUAUUGUUACAUGAUGCAAAAGUCAAGGCUUGUCUCCCUCCCCUGAGGAUAUCUUGCUGUUUACUGACAUAUUCUCCCCAUACAUGCACUCAUGUAUAUGAUAUAUAUGAUCAGAUGUUUUUGUGGAGAGUGUGCAGGCAACAAAGAAUUGGCAUGUAUCCGAGGGCUAUGUGAAUUGUUACUGGUCCUUUAGGCUGUUGACCAUAGUGGUUCUUAGCUGUUACAAUCUUCUCUCUACUCUGCUGGUUAAUUCUUCAGGGCCAAAGAGCUCUCUUCAGUGUUGACUUUGGAUUAUUCUUUAUGCAGAUGGAUUCAGAAUUGUCUGAACACAGAUGCUCUUUUAACCUCUAUGCAUUCCUGAUACAAACAUGUCAAAAUGGUUGGGUCUGGUGAAGAGAUAGCUGUGAAGAAUGUAUCUUUGAUAAUGUGUUGUCUGUGUUUGAUGGGUGGCAGCAGUCACAGUAUUGUGGUAUUGCUUUGACAGGCAAUCAGAUGUGCUGGGUCUUCUUCACUGAUAUCAAUCUCCCUGAGAAUCAUUUGGCUGCCAAAGAUACUGCUGACUUCUGUAUAGGACAGCUGGUGGGCUAGAAUUCCCUCCCCAUCAGAGUGUAGCUAUUGAAAGCCUACAGGUCCUGUGCUCUUUCUGCUGUGUACCCCUUUCGUGUUAGAAGUCCCUGAGCCCUAAAGGGAAGGGAUUGAUAGCAACACUCCAUUUAAGGAAGAGUGUGCCAAGGUUUCUCACUCACUGUGCGAUUACUGGCUGUGGGAAACUAGAAAAAAAUCAUCCUGAUUGAGGUGAGGCAAAGACUACUACCACAAUUUUAAGCCAGAUUUGAAGCAAGUUUUAAUUCAAUCCUGACCAGGUUGAUGAACUCUGACCAGGUCCAUUCCCAAUCCAUUGCAGAGGCUUAAAAAGGCAUCACCAUAUUUCUCUUCAGGUCCAAUCAGGGGCAAGCAUACACCCUGAUGUGUUUCUUCCCACAUAACCUCCUGCUUACCUGUGAUGAAGCACUUCUGACAUAGUUGGAUUGAGCAAACUUGCUAGGGGUAGCAAAACCAUAUUGUGGUUUGUUAUUUUCCUUAAAGAAACACCUCCAGUAUUUCAGAAAGUUAUCUGUCCUUGGGCAGGUGGGGCUUACUGGUUGACCUUGGCCCACAAAGACAAGUAUGAUCAAUGUCUUGCUCAGCCAUUAUCGGAGAAGCCUCCUCCUGCAGCAGAUGGUUCUUGGGUUUGGGAAGCAUCUUCAUGUCCAAAUAUUUUUCUGCUUCCAGAUGAGGUGAUGCCCUGGAAUGACUAGUGAAGAGGGAGAUGGGGUCUCCUCUGCAGUGCAGAGUGCUGGAUUUCCUCAGGUCCCAUGAUGGUUUUGUUUAUGUGGGAUCUCCCUGUCUGCCUCUACAUUUGAUGGAUAAGGUGAACUGAAAGAACUGGAUCCAAGGGACCCUUUGGAAUAAUUCCAUGGACAGACAACCUACUCCCCCCUAGAAUGGUGUUUUCCCUCAUGUAUGUCUGAGUACUACCCACAAAGGCCAGAAGAGGAUGUCACAUAGCCUAGAGCUGGAGUUCU